rnacentral:rRNA from 1 species
AUGGAAGCAGAAUUAACUGCUCUGGACACAGCUACAGUUGAGGCAGAAUGGCUGCGUGAGCUCUUGAUGGACUUGCCGGUUGUUGAAAAACCUGUACCGGCUAUUCUUAUGAAUUGUGAUAACCAAACGGUUAUCGCUGAAGUGAACAAUUCUAAAGAUAAUCCAAAGUCAUCAAGACACGUGAAAAGACGUUUGAAGUCUGUCAGGAAGUUGAGAAACUCCGGAGUAAUAACUGUUACGUAUAUACAAACAGACAAAAACCUGGCAGAUCCCUUUACAAAGGGACUAUCACGAAAUGUGAUAGAUAUUGCAUCGAGGGAGAUGGGUAUGAGACCCAUAGCAGUCUUGAAAGAACACACCUAUAUGAGUUCUGACUGUAAACGUCGCAGUCUAUGA